rnacentral:rRNA from 1 species
AUGGACCAAUCCAUCCCUUUUUCCCGUGCAUAUGCAUCGGACUCGGAUGACGAUGGUCCUGAUGAAGAAGUUGAUGAGGAGGGGUUCACACCGAAGGAGGCCGAAGCAUUCAAGAAGGUAUUCGGGCGGGAUCACAAGACACCAUUGUUCAAGGAUCUUAGUCUCGCGGAUGAAGCCGUUGUGGAUGGUGGAAAAUGCAUAUCUCUUGGAGCUAGGCCAAGUUCUCACCGUGAUUUGGAAGACGGCAAGAACGGGAUAUAUCCCGGUUGUGAGUUUCAAUCCUUCUUGGAAUUGAAGAUGUGGCUCGACAACUACUCGGUUACACAUUAUCGUCAACAUAAAAUGGCCAACUCGGGCGUGAAUGUGCGUUACACGGUCAAAUGUGAAGUGCCAACAUGUCCAUGGAUUGUGCGUGCAAGGCCAUGGAAAGGAGGUCCCACUUGGCGCAUAGUGAGUUGUCUACCAACUCACAUGUGCCGGCACAAGAAUGCGGAUGGCAAGCUUGUAUACCAACAACACAGACAACUCACGUCCGAGUUCAUUGCUUACAGGCUGUCCAACCAAAUAUCCACACAUCCAACAAUGAGCAUCAAGAGUGUCAUUGCCCUUAUCUUGGGCGCUGCACACUGA